CCUAGGGGGGCUGCAGUGAGGAAUAUUGGUCAAUGGUCGGGAGACUGAACCAGCCAAGCCGCGUGAGGGAUGGAGGUACAGAGUAUCGUAAACCUCUGUUGUCAGGGAACAAAGGCGGGGACGCGUCCCCGGAUGAGUGUACCUGAAGGAAAAGCAUCGGCUAACUCGUGGCCAGCAGCCGCGGUAAUACGGAGGAUGCGAGCGUUAUCCGGAUUUAUUGGUGUGAAGGGGUACGCGGGGGGUCUGUUAAUUCAGCGGGAAACGCCCGGAGCUCAACCCCGGCCCGCCGGUGAAACUGGCAGUCUCGAGUUGGAGAGAAGUAUGUGGAAUGCGCGGUGUAGCGGUGAAAUGCAUAGAUAUCGCGCAGAAUACCGAUUGCGAAGGCAGCACGCCGGCUCCACACUGACGCUGAGGCACGAAAGCGUGGGUAUCGAACAGGAUUAGAUACCCCUGUAGUC
rnacentral:rRNA from 1 species